rnacentral:rRNA from 1 species
GGUAAAGCCUACCAAGACAAUGAUGCAUAGCCGAGUUGAGAGACUGAUCGGCCACAUUGGGACUGAGACCCGGCCCAAACUCCUACGGGAGGCUGCAGUAGGGAAUCUUCCACAAUGGGCGAAAGCCUGAUGGAGCAACGCCGCGUGUGUGAUGAAGGCUUUCGGGUCGUAAAGCACUGUUGUAUGGGAAGAAAAGUUAAGGUAGGGAAUGACCUUAGCCUGACGGUACCAUACCAGAAAGGGACGGCUAAAUACGUGCCAGCAGCCGCGGUAAUACGUAUGUCCCGAGCGUUAUCCGGAUUUAUUGGGCGUAAAGCGAGCGCAGACGGUUGGUUAAGUCUGAUGUGAAAGCCCGGAGCUCAACUCCGGAAAGGCAUUGGAAACUGGUUAACUUGAGUGCAGUAGAGGUAAGUGGAACUCCAUGUGUAGCGGUGGAAUGCGUAGAUAUAUGGAAGAACACCAGCGGCGAAGGCGGCUUACUGGACUGUAACUGACGUUGAGGCUCGAAAGUGUGGGUAGCAAACAGGAUUAGAUACCCUGGUAGUCCACACCGUAAACGAUGAACACUAGGUGUUAGGAGGUUUCCGCCUCUUAGUGCCGAAGCUAACGCAUUAAGUGUUCCGCCUGGGGAGUACGACCGCAAGGUUGAAACUCAAAGGAAUUGACGGGGACCCGCACAAGCGGUGGAGCAUGUGGUUUAAUUCGAAGCAACGCGAAGAACCUUACCAGGUCUUGACAUCCUUUGAAGCUUUUAGAAAUAGAAGUGUUCUCUUCGGAGACAAAGUGACAGGUGGUGCAUGGUCGUCGUCAGCUCGUGUCGUGAGAUGUUGGGUUAAGUCCCGCAACGAGCGCAACCCUUAUUGUUAGUUGCCAGCAUUCAGAUGGGCACUCUAGCGAGACUGCCGGUGACAAACCGGAGGAAGGCGGGGACGACGUCAGAUCAUCAUGCCCCUUAUGACCUGGGCUACACACGUGCUACAAUGGCGUAUACAACGAGUUGCCAACCUGCGAAGGUGAGCUAAUCUCUUAAAGUACGUCUCAGUUCGGACUGCAGUCUGCAACUCGACUGCACGAAGUCGGAAUCGCUAGUAAUCGCGGAUCAGCACGCCGCGGUGAAUACGUUCCCGGGUCUUGUACACACCGCCCGUCACACCAUGGAAGUUUGUAAUGCCCAAAGCCGGUGGCCUAACCGUAAGGAGGGAACC